rnacentral:rRNA from 1 species
GAUGAACGCUGGCGGCGUGCCUAAUACAUGCGAGUCGAGCGAACGGACGAGAAGCUUGCUUUUCUGAUGUUAGCGGCGGACGGGUGAGUAACACGUGGAUAACCUACCUAUAAGACUGGGAUAACUUCGGGAAACCGGAGCUAAUACCGGAUAAUAUUUUGAACCGCAUGGUUCAAAAGUGAAAGACGGUCUUGCUGUCACUUAUAGAUGGAUCCGCGCUGCAUUAGCUAGUUGGUAAGGUAACGGCUUACCAAGGCAACGAUGCAUAGCCGACCUGAGAGGGUGAUCGGCCACACUGGAACUGAGACACGGUCCAGACUCCUACGGGAGGCAGCAGUAGGGAAUCUUCCGCAAUGGGCGAAAGCCUGACGGAGCAACGCCGCGUGAGUGAUGAAGGUCUUCGGAUCGUAAAACUCUGUUAUUAGGGAAGAACAUAUGUGUAAGUAACCGUGCACAUCUUGACGGUACCUAAUCAGAAAGCCACGGCUAACUACGUG